rnacentral:rRNA from 1 species
UGGGGAAUAUUGGACAAUGGGGGAACCGUGAUCCAGCCAUGCCGCGUGUGUGAAGAAGGCCUUUUGGUUGUAAAGCACUUUAAGCAGGGAGGAGAGGCUAAUGGUUAAUACCCAUUAGAUUAGACGUUACCUGCAGAAUAAGCACCGGCUAACUCUGUGCCAGCAGCCGCGGUAAUACAGAGGGUGCGAGCGUUAAUCGGAAUUACUGGGCGUAAAGCGAGUGUAGGUGGCUCAUUAAGUCACAUGUGAAAUCCCCGGGCUUAACCUGGGAACUGCAUGUGAUACUGGUGGUGCUAGAAUAUGUGAGAGGGAAGUAGAAUUCCAGUGUAGCGGUGAAAUGCGUUAGAGAUCUGGAGGAAUACCGAUGGCGAAGGCAGCUUCCUGGCAUAAUAUUGACACUGAGAUUCGAAAGCGUGGGUAGCAAACA